GACGAACGCUGGCGGCGUGGAUUAGGCAUGCAAGUCGAACGGUAUCAUCCUUUCGGGGGUGAGAGAGUGGCGAACUGGUGAGUAACACGUAGGUUAUCUACCCUCAAGACGGGGACAACCCAGGGAAACUUGGGCUAAUACCGGAUGUGAGCAACUUUUAGUUGUUUGAAAGGUGGCGUAAGCUGUCGCUUGGGGAUGAGCCUGCGUCCUAUUAGUUAGUUGGUGAGGUAACGGCUCACCUAGGCAAUGAUAGGUAGGCGGCCUUAACGGGUGGUCGCCCACACUGGGAUUGAGAUACGGCCCAGACUCCUACGGGAGGCAGCAGUCGAGAAUAGUCUACAAUGGUCGGAAGACUGAUAGUGCGACGCCGCGUGAACGAUGAAUCCCUUCGGGGUGUAAAGUUCUUUUAUAUGUGAGCAGUGCUUCUUAUAUUAACAGUAUGGGGAGAGAGAUAUUAGCAUAUGAAUAAGCAACGGCUAACUACGUGCCAGCAGCCGCGGUAAUA
rnacentral:rRNA from 1 species